rnacentral:tRNA from 1 species
GCCUGGCUAGCUCAAUCGGUAGAGCGUGAGACUCUUAUACCAUCUCAAGGCUGUGGGUUCAAGCCCCACGUCGGGCU